CAUAGAGUGGCUGAAUGUAAGCAUUGGAAUUUUAAACCAUUAUAUAGUAAUUAACAUAUACUCUUUAUG
rnacentral:tRNA from 1 species